UACGGGGGGGGCAAGCGUUGUUCGGAAUUACUGGGCGUAAAGGGCUCGUAGGCGGCCAACUAAGUCAGACGUGAAAUCCCUCGGCUUAACCGGGGAACUGCAUCUGACACUGGAUGGCUUGAGAUUGGGAGAGGGAUGCGGAAUUCCAGGUGUAGCGGUGAAAUGCGUAGAUAUCUGGAGGAACACCGGUGGCGAAGGCGGCAUCCUGGACCAACACUGACGCUGAGGAGCGAAAGCCAGGGGAGCAAACGGG
rnacentral:rRNA from 1 species